GUGGGGAAUAUUGGACAAUGGGCGAAAGCCUGAUCCAGCCAUGCCGCGUGUGUGAAGAAGGUCUUCGGAUUGUAAAGCACUUUAAGUUGGGAGGAAGGGCAGUAAGUUAAUACCUUGCUGUUUUGACGUUACCAACAGAAUAAGCACCGGCUAACUUCGUGCCAGCAGCCGCGGUAAUACGAAGGGUGCAAGCGUUAAUCGGAAUUACUGGGCGUAAAGCGCGCGUAGGUGGUUUUGUAAGUUGGAGGUGAAAUCCCCGGGCUCAACCUGGGAACUGCCUCCAAAACUGCAUGACUAGAGUACGGUAGAGGGUAGUGGAAUUUCCUGUGUAGCGGUGAAAUGCGUAGAUAUAGGAAGGAACACCAGUGGCGAAGGCGACUACCUGGACUGAUACUGACACUGAGGUGCGAAAGCGUGGGGAGCAAACAGGAUUAGAAACCCCAGUAGUCC
rnacentral:rRNA from 1 species